GGUUUUUUUGUUUGUUUGUUUCUAUUUAAGUUAGCAUACAAAAUACUGGGAAAUAUCAAGAGAAAAGAGAAUUACCAUCCCACAAUGCUUUUUAAGGGCACCCUAUGACCCAAUGACUCAAAACUUAUCACUAGACCCCACCUUGUGAAGCUUUCCAAUGCCAAUAGUCCCAAGCUGAGGAACAAGCCUUUAACACCUGGGAGACAUUCAGACUCAACCUAUAGUAGUCUGCUAGGACAUCCAGACUUUGCUGUCAUAUUAGUACUAAUGGGUCUCCCAAAAGUGGGAGUUUUCAUGCUAGUGGUGGGAAUGGACAAGACAAACUGGCCUCUCCUCACUGUCGCCCAGAUAACAGACACUUUCUCUUACAGUGAUGACAGAAGUCACUCCUUGAAGUGCUGGUUCGCUUUCCAUUGUGUUUCCUUAAACAGAAUCAAGUCAGAUGCUCACUCUUACUGCAAAGAAUGGCUCGUAACAAUCAUAGUUUAUCCCCGUGGACACAUAGUGGAUCCAUGUAGAAGGAGAAGAGGGAAAGAUUAUGAGUGAGCAGCUCCCAGGACACCUCCAGUGAAGACUAGAGGUUUGGAUUUGAUCCUGCAGACAAGAGACAUCUCUAGGCUCUACACAGCAGUCAGCUGUCUCAUCUGAUAUUUUAAAUACAGAGGGAUUGAUAUAAGUGGGUUAAAUAAUCACUUUUACUAAUACCACUAAAGCAAGAAGGACUCUUGGUAGAUUCUUGCAAUAAUCUAGACACAGGAUAAGAUCUAAACAGAGACAGUGUCAGUUGAUGUGUAAACUAAACAUCAGUUGAUGCUGAGUUUCAAAGCUACGGGACAUUUUACCACACAAUGUACUGUGCCUAGGUUCAACCCAGACAGCUCUCAUUUGUGAAGGAGAAAAUAGUGAACGAGACAUUAGAGGAGGCUUGGCCAAGUUUCUCUCAGCUGCCAAACAUUACCUGCCUAACAAAGCAAACAUCUUAUAAGAUUGGGGUGAGAUUUCUCCCGUUCUUUGGCUCUCUGACAUGUCCGACACCAGCUGGCUUGCUCGCCGCCCCCCCCCCCCAUCUACCUGGCGCCAGGUGCACUUUCAGCAGAGAUGAGCAACCAUGAGCUUGGCAGUAUCCAUUAGAAGACUGGCUUCCCACUUCCAGUUACUCUACGUGAGCUUAUAACUGAGAUAAAGCUAAUCCUCCCAAGGCCUGUUAGUGAAAAAUCAACCCGGCAAGAAGCACAGCCUGGGAGUGCUGAACUCUUCCUACUAUGCGAGGUUCGAGAAAUGCUGCACAAGGAACAUUUGGACGAUGGCGGCUCUGGGAGGCAAUGGUAAGAGAGAGAUGAGCAGAGAAAAGCAAGCAUCAGCCUUUGUCACAUCUGUCACACAGCCACCUUUCACCCAUCCUUGUUAGGUCUUUGCUCAAUUGACAAUGAUGCAUCCAUGAAAGUGACUCUAAGGCUUUAGUUACGAGCCUUGUGAGGGUGGAGGCUGUAGACGGCCGGUCCACUUGACAGUGUAUUUCCCAAAGCUAGUGUGGUACAUGGCAUGUACUACACCACAGCUACUUGCUGAGCUAAUAUUUGAUUUGUAUUUGUCUGUGCAUGCCCAGGAGCAUGUGGAGGCCAGAAGACAUCCUUGGCUGCCAUUCCUCAGGCCCUAGCCACCUUGUUUGUUGAGUAGGGGUUUCUCGCCAGCUUGAAAAGAUAUAUUUCAGCUAGGCGGACUGAUGACUAAACCCCAGCAAUUUGCCUCUCCCCAUUUUCCUAGCACUGGGAUAAACACACCUCCACACCCAGCCCCUUAAACGUGAGUUUUGACGAUCAAACGCAGGUCCUCACACUCACGAGACAAGCAUUCUACCGACAAGC
rnacentral:lncRNA from 1 species